UGGGGAAUAUUGCACAAUGGGCGCAAGCCUGAUGCAGCCAUGCCGCGUGUGUGAAGAAGGCCUUCGGGUUGUAAAGCACUUUCAGCGGGGAGGAAGGCGAUAAGGUUAAUAACCUUGUCGAUUGACGUUACCCGCAGAAGAAGCACCGGCUAACUCCGUGCCAGCAGCCGCGGUAAUACGGAGGGUGCAAGCGUUAAUCGGAAUUACUGGGCGUAAAGCGCACGCAGGCGGUCUGUCAAGUCGGAUGUGAAAUCCCCGGGCUUAACCUGGGAACUGCAUUCGAAACUGGCAGGCUAGAGUCUUGUAGAGGGGGGUAGAAUUCUAGGUGUAGCGGUGAAAUGCGUAGAGAUCUGGAGGAAUACCGGUGGCGAAGGCGGCCCCCUGGACGAAGACUGACGCUCAGGUGCGAAAGCGUGGGGAGCAAACAGG
rnacentral:rRNA from 1 species